UACGGAGGGGGCUAGCGUUGUUCGGAAUUACUGGGCGUAAAGCGCGCGUAGGCGGCUUUGUAAGUUAGAGGUGAAAGCCCAGGGCUUAACCCUGGAAUUGCCUUUAAGACUGCAUCGCUAGAAUCUUGGAGAGGUGAGUGGAAUUCCGAGUGUAGAGGUGAAAUUCGUAGAUAUUCGGAAGAACACCAGUGGCGAAGGCGACUCACUGGACACGUAUUGACGCUGAGGUGCGAAAGCGUGGGGAGCAAACAGG
rnacentral:rRNA from 1 species